CGGUGAAAUGCAUAGAUAUCGCGCAGAACUCCGAUUGCGAAGGCAGCGUACCGGCGCCAGACUGACGCUGAGGCACGAAAGCGUGGGGAUCGAACAGGAUUAGAUACCCUGGUAGUCCACGCAGUAAACGAUGAAUGCUGGUUGUCCGGGUCGAAUGAGAUCUGGGCGGCGAAGCGAAAGCGAUAAGCAUUCCACCUGGGGAGUACGCCGGCAACGGUGAAACUCAAAGGAAUUGACGGGGGCCCGCACAAGCGGAGGAACAUGUGGUUUAAUUCGAUGAUACGCGAGGAACCUUACCCGGGCUCAAACGGGAGCGGAAUGGACCAGAGACGGUUCAGCCUACGGGCCGCUUCCGAGGUGCUGCAUGGUUGUCGUCAGCUCGUGCCGUGAGGUGUCGGCUUAAGUGCCAUAACGAGCGCAACCCCCGCCGGCAGUUGCAACGGGCAAUUCGGAUGGGCACUCUGGCGGGACUGCCAGCGCAAGCUGCGAGGAAGGCGGGGAUGACGUCAAAUCAGCACGGCCCUUACGUCCGGGGCGACACACGUGUU
rnacentral:rRNA from 1 species